GCUGGACAGCUUAGUCGAUAGAGCAUGAGACUCAUAAUCUCAGGAUCGUGGAUUUGAGUCCCACCUUGGGCA